ensembl:lincRNA
UAUUUUUUUCCUUGUAUCAAGAUGAAAAAUAUGUAAUUAGCAAAAUUUUAUAAUUGAAAUAAGAUUUGGUAUGCUUUUUAUAAUAAAAUAAUGAGCAAUAUACUUGGAAAUAGUACAGUUUCUCCUAUGACAUAUAGAUUAAGUAUUCAGGAAAACCAGAUAUAAAACCUGCUGCUGAACUUAUGAAACAUUUUUGAAAGGAAAUUUUUGGAAGGUUAAUAUAAAAUUCAUUAUAGGAAAAUGAGAUAAAAGUUGAUGAACCCUGCCACGAUACUUUCUUGAUUUAUGAAAUAAUAUUGGAUGUUUCCUCUUUUGAUAGGGCAAAGUUAAAAGAAUGUAUCAGGAAUGAAACUAUUUAAAUUCAACUUAAAAGUUGGAAAUCCCAGCUACUGAAAGAGAUUGUUAAAGUUUUUGAGUGCAAAGGUGUGUAUUAAGCUUAGGGAUUGUUGACUUUUUCCAUCAGUUCAUAUUUUCAUUCUUACUGUACUUGGCAUGCGCAAUAAAUCAGCAUACGUGAAAAGUUCACAGUGUGAGGGUUUAUUAUAAAGGUCAGAUGUAGUUUUCUUUAGAAAUUUAGAUGAAAGAUCUUGGCCUUUUCACUGGAUAAGUGUGGCCAGAAAGGCAGGGUAGAUUUUGAAGCACUGGUUUUGUUGAAGUUAAGUUUAUUAAGGCUGGGAACAUAAAAGCUAAUUUAUAAAAGCAAUACUUUCUAAUACACAAAAAAAACCUUAAUGCAUAAGUUUGUUUAUUCUUUAGCCUAGAAAGGAAAUUUGCUAAGAUCAUGUGGCAAAUCAUUAAAAAAAAAAAAAAAAAAAAAAAAAAAAAAAAAAAAAAGAUAGUCUUGGACUGGAAAGAUGGCUCAGCAGUUAAGAACAUUGCUCUUGCAGAGGACCCAGGUUUGGUUCGGUUCCCAGCACCCACAUGGUGGCUAACAACUGUCCUUAACUCUAAUUCCAGGGAAUCCAGCGCCCUCUUCUGACCUCCACGAGCAUUGUACAUGCAGGCACAACAUUGAUACACAUAAAAUAAAAAUAAAUAAAUCCAAAGAAUUUUUUUAAAAGAUAGGCAGCUUAUGUUCACAUGGAGAAUUAGUGCCAUUACCUGCAAACCUGAUAAUGUAAAGCACACUUGUUUAUUGGUUUUCAAAUGGCAUUUGUAAAAGAUCUGGUUGCUGUACCCAAAUCUUCAACUCAUACUGAAUAAAAAGCUUUAGGUAGCUAUUUUUUCCCUCGCUUUUUAAAAUAAUGUUCCUGUUAAUACAUAAAACAUACCUAGCAUGCAUUCACAGAUUCAGAAACACUGCUUGUGCCCACCACUCACCUUGUCAAGAGCGUUUGUCAGUACUUGUCAUUUACCUUUUUAAUGGUUCUAAUUCAUACCUAAUAGGUUUUAAGUAAGCAGUUCAAUAAAUCCUUGACAAAUGUAAACAUUGUUACCAUCACCCAAAUGAAGAUCUAAAACACUUCUGUCACCCAGGGAAGUCCUUCAUGCCUCCUCAGUCAAUGCUCCCUCUUCCACAGGCUACAAGUAGGCCCAUUGCCUUCACUAUUAUUAGUUGUACCUAGUCUUGAACUUCAUAGACAUGAAGUCAUACCAUAUAUGCUCUUGUGUCUGCUUCCUUCUUAACCAGGUUUUGGAAUUCAUCCAUGUUACAUAUAUCAGUAACAAGUAGUUUUUAAUGAGUAGUGUAUUGUACAAAUUUGCUUACUCUCUUGUUGGUAGUGUUUGGAUUGUUUACAGCUUGAGAUUAUUAUGAAUAAACCUAUGGACAUGGAAACCUUUACUGUGGAUCUUCUUUUUAUUUCUUUUAGGUGUUUACUGUCAAGUAGAAUUAU